ACGUAUGGGGCAAGCGUUGUUCGGAAUUAUUGGGCGUAAAGGGCGCCUAGGCGGGUGGUUAAGUUAGAUGUGAAAUCCACGGGCUUAACCCGGGAACUGCAUCUAAAACUGGUUCUCUUGAGUUCGGGAGAGGAGAGCGGAAUUCCAGGUGUAGCGGUGAAAUUCGUAGAUAUCAGGAAGAACACCAGUGGCGAAGGCGGCUUUCUGGCCUAGAACUGACGCUGAAGCGCGAAAGCGUGGGUAGCGAACAG
rnacentral:rRNA from 1 species